rnacentral:rRNA from 1 species
CUACGGGAGGCUCCAGUGGGGAAUAUUGCACAAUGGGCGCAAGCCUGAUGCAGCCAUGCCGCGUGUAUGAAGAGGGCCUUCGGGUUGUAAAGUACUUUCAGCGGGGAGGAAGGGAGUAAAGUUAAUACCUUUGCUCAUUGACGUUACCCGCAGAAGAAGCACCGGCUAACUCCGUGCCAGCAGCCGCGGUAAUACGGAGGGUGCAAGCGUUAAUCGGAAUUACUGGGCGUAAAGCGCACGCAGGCGGUUUGUUAAGUCAGAUGUGAAAUCCCCGGGCUCAACCUGGGAACUGCAUCUGGACUGGCAAGCUUGAGUCUCGUAGAGGGGGGUAGAAUUCCAGGUGUAGCGGUGAAAUGCGUAGAGAUCUGGAGGAAUACCGGUGGCGAAGGCGGCCCCCUGGACGAAGACUGACGCUCAGGUGCGAAAGCGUGGGGAGCAAACAGGAUUAGAUACCCUUGUAGUC